UACGAACCGUACAAACGUUAUUCGGAAUCACUGGGCUUAAAGGGCGCGUAGGCGGCCAUGUAAGUGAGAUGUGAAAUCCCUCGGCUCAACCGAGGAAGUGCAUUUCAUACUGCCUGGCUUGAGGGAGACAGGGGUAAGCGGAACUGAUGGUGGAGCGGUGAAAUGCGUUGAUAUCAUCAGGAACACCGGUGGCGAAAGCGGCUUACUGGGUCUCUUCUGACGCUGAGGUACGAAAGCUAGGGGAGCGAACGGG
rnacentral:rRNA from 1 species